rnacentral:lncRNA from 10 species
GCUAUGUAAGUGCAUGGCUAUAUUUAGAUCUAUGUUUAUACACAUUUGUUUUGAGCCUGUUCGGCUUGGUCUUUUCCAGCAUCCUUGCCUGCCUGGACCCUGGACUUUGCCACACCUGCCUGGCAGGAUGGAUCUCACAAUGCUGUUUGUUUGCUGCUACACCUAGGCUGCCAAGUGCAAAUGGAGACAAUAACUCAACCAUGAGGACUAAUGCCACUACAUAUUGCUAGUCUCCAAUUUCAGCUGGACCACUCUUUUAUUUGUCCUUGGUCAACUUCCUUUUCGAAUCUUCUCAGUGGCCGUUCCAGAACUGUUCCUUUCUCCUGCAGUCUCCUUACCAAACUCCUGCCCCCUUUUGCUCAUCAGACACCAUGAGUCCUGCCUUGUUCGGAGCAGAAAGAAAGAGCCACUCUGCAGAGGGCAAUCUCUCAACUUCCUGUGCUCUCCUUUCAGGCCAGGGCUCCUGCUUCGUGGAAGGCUGUGACCUGCUUCCAGGUGUUUCAGAGCCUGCUCCUGACUGCGGACCCCAAGGAGUCCUUCCCACUACAAUGAGCUGGGCUUUUCUUGGCACAUGAGGCUUAUACAGACCACUUCUCGACUGAUCCACUUGUGAGAAGAUCCAGACCUUUUCUGGUAGUCAUGGCCAGAAAGCAGCAUCAUAUGUACAGCUGAGGAGGGCUACAGGAGCCAGCUUUCCCAAGCUGGCAGGACUCCUGGACACAGCUUCCCCAGCCAGCCUCCCUGCAGGAUGAAGAUGCUACCGGUUCCUAUACCCGUCCUGCACACAGGGAGGUGUUGUAGUGAGUAGGGAGUUGGGUGCGGUGGGGGAACCGUUUUCCUUGUCAAUGAACUUUCAAGAAUGGAAAGUUUCUCUUGGCUUAAGAAAGCCAAAACAGUUGCCUUAUAAAACAAGCAGCAAUCCUUCAUUCGUAAGCACACUGGGUACAAAUGACAACUAAGACCUCUUGGAUUCUAGAAUUGUGUACUGUCGGGUAUUGUGUAGUAAUAUCUAAUUGUGGUUUUAACUUGCAUUUCCCUAAUGAGCAAAGGUGUUGGGCAGUUUUUCAUGUGCUUAUUUGCCAUUCAUAUAUCCUCCUUGAAGAAGUGUCUGGUCAAAUCGUUUGCCAUUUCUUUUGCCUUUUAAUGUAAUUUUAGAAAAUAAACUUUAUUUUUUAGAACAGUUUUAGAUUUGUAAGAAAUUUGCAUAUAUUGUAGAGUCCCCCUACAUCAUGUCUUCAGUUUCCCCUGUGAUUAACAUCUUGCAUAAAAAAUAUGGUACAUUUGUUCCAGUUAAUGAAGCAAUGUUGAUGCAUCAUUAUUAACUAAAGUCUAC